GUCCACACUGUAAACGAUGGUUACUAGGUGUUCCCGGGCAACUGGGAGUGCCCAAGCGAAAGCGAUAAGUAACCCACCUGGGGAGUACGACCGCAAGGUUGAAACUCAAAGGAAUUGACGGGGGCCCGCACAAGCGGUGGAGCAUGUGGUUUAAUUCGAUGGUACGCGAGGAACCUUACCUGGGCUAGAAUGCGCGUGACCGGACCUGAAAGGGUUCAUCUCUUCGGAGCACAAAGCAAGGUGCUGCAUGGCUGUCGU
rnacentral:rRNA from 1 species